rnacentral:rRNA from 1 species
CUACGGGACGCUCCAGUGGGGAAUAUUGCACAAUGGGGGGAUCCCUGAUGCAGCAACGCCGCGUGGAGGAUGACACAUUUCGGUGCGUAAACUCCUUUUAUAUAAGAAGAUAAUGACGGUAUUAUAUGAAUAAGCACCGGCUAACUCCGUGCCAGCAGCCGCGGUAAUACGGGGGGUGCAAGCGUUACUCGGAAUCACUGGGCGUAAAGAGCAUGUAGGCGGGUAGAAAAGUUGGAAGUGAAAUCCUAUGGCUUAACCAUAGAACUGCUUCCAAAACUCUUUACCUAGAAUAUGGGAGAGGUAGAUGGAAUUUCUGGUGUAGGGGUAAAAUCCGUAGAGAUCAGAAGGAAUACCGAUUGCGAAGGCGAUCUACUGGAACAUUAUUGACGCUCAGAUGCGAAAGCGUGGGGAGCAAACAGGAUUAGAUACCCGAGUAGUC